rnacentral:rRNA from 1 species
CACGUGGGUGAUCUGCCCUGCACUUCGGGAUAAGCCUGGGAAACUGGGUCUAAUACCGGAUAUGACUUCAGGUUGCAUGACUUGGGGUGGAAAGAUUUAUCGGUGCAGGAUGGGCCCGCGGCCUAUCAGCUUGUUGGUGGGUAAUGGCCUACCAAGGCGACGACGGGUAGCCGACCUGAGAGGGUGACCGGCCACACUGGGACUGAGACACGGCCCAGACUCCUACGGGAGGCAGCAGUGGGGAAUAUUGCACAAUGGGCGAAAGCCUGAUGCAGCGACGCCGCGUGAGGGAUGACGGCCUUCGGGUUGUAAACCUCUUUCAGCAGGGACGAAGCGCAAGUGACGGUACCUGCAGAAGAAGCACCGGCUAACUACGUG